UACGAAGGGGGCUAGCGUUGCUCGGAAUCACUGGGCGUAAAGGGUGCGUAGGCGGGUCUUUUAAGUCAGGGGUGAAAUCCUGGACUCAACUCCAGAACUGCCUUUGAUACUGAAGAUCUUGAGUUCGGGAGAGGUGAGUGGAACUGCGAGUGUAGAGGUGAAAUUCGUAGAUAUUCGCAAGAACACCAGUGGCGAAGGCGGCUCACUGGCCCGAUACUGACGCUGAGACGCGAAAGCGUGGGGAGCAAACAGG
rnacentral:rRNA from 1 species